rnacentral:piRNA from 1 species
UUACUAAAAGCUUCUAUAUGA